rnacentral:rRNA from 1 species
AUACGAGGGGUGCAAGCGUUGUUCGGAAUUACUGGGCGUAAAGGGAGCGUAGGCGGAGAUUCAAGCGGAUUGUACAAUCCCGGGGCCCAACCCCGGCUCUGCAGUCCGAACUGGAUCUCUUGGAUAGUUCAGGGGCAGGCGGAAUUCCUGGUGUAGCGGUGGAAUGCGUAGAGAUCAGGAAGAACACCGAUGGCGAAGGCAGCCUGCUGGGGACUUAUCGACGCUGAGGCUCGAAAGUGCGGGUAGCAAACAGGAUUAGAUACCCUGGUAGUCCGCACCGUAAACGAUGCAUACUGGGUGUCCGGGGGUUCCCCCGGGUACCGUAGCCAACGCGUUAAGUAUGCCGCCUGGGGAGUACGUACGCAAGGUUGAAACUCAAAUGAAUUGACGGGG